ACGCUCGACACCUACGGGAGGCAGCAGUGGGGAAUAUUGCACAAUGGGGGAAACCCUGAUGCAGCGACGCCGCGUGGAGGAAGAAGGUCUUCGGAUUGUAAACUCCUGUUGUUGGGGAAAAAGAGGAUGGUACCCAACAAGGAAGUGACGGCUAACUACGUGUCAGCAGCCGCGGUAAUCUGAGCGGGCGUGGCAAGGC
rnacentral:rRNA from 1 species